rnacentral:rRNA from 1 species
AAGAGUUGGUGACCGCAUACUGAAUCAAUAGGUAUGCGGAGCAAACCCAGGGAACUGAAACAUCUAAGUACCUGGAGGAAAAGAAACAAAAGUGAUUCCCCAAGUAGUGGCGAGCGAACGGGGACGAGCCUAAACCUGUGUUGUGUAAGCCUGCAGGCGUUGCAGCACGGGGGUCGUGGGACCGUCUAUCGAGACCUGCAGAGCUCGAGCGGAGUUACAAAACGUCGACUUAGAAGAACCGUCUGGAAAGGCGGGCCAUAGAGGGUGAGAGCCCCGUAAACGAAAAGUCUGGCGACUCCGAGACGGCACCCGAGUACCGCGGGACACGAGAAACCCUGUGGGAAUCUGGGAGGACCAUCUUCCAAGGCUAAAUACUACCUGACGACCGAUAGUGGACGAGUACCGCGAGGGAAAGGUGAAAAGCACCCCGACGAGGGGAGUGAAAUAGACCCUGAAACCAUGUGCCUACAAGCAGUUCGAGCCCUAUGGCCGCAAGGCAAAGGGUGAGAGCGUGCCUUUUGCAUAAUGAGCCUGCGAGUUGUCCUAC